UUUUAGACGCACUGGCACUGUCUGUUGAGCUCCUGACCUGAUGAACCUUUCUCACAGUUGAACAAGUCCCUUAUAAUGACGUUUCCCGAACUUCCAACAUUGACCGGCAGAGAGCAGACGUCGUCUUGUUGCUGAUGUUGAUGUCCAAAGUCUGGUUUGUCUGUCAAUAACAUUCUUUGAAGAUGACAAAGAACAAAGAAAUGUAGGUGAAGAUCACCUUAUGUCAAAUGUUAAAAGUGUUUUCUUAUAUAUAUAAAAACUUCACAUGAAGUUUCCAGCCAGGGAAACAAAUGUUCUUGUGCAAAACAAGGACCUGGUAUAGGCCUAUGGAGAAGGGGGGCAACAUGGAGGCCUUUAGUGGUGUGAUUGUGAUUGUAACUUCUGGAAAUAAUAUAACCUACUCUGGUUUUCAUUAGCCUAUAUUAGCCUUAUAUUUGUUAACGGAUUGUCUAUGCUCUUUGGACAGCACAUCAGUGAAUGUCAGAGAGCUCAGGCUGUGUCCAUCUCCUCAGUUAUCUUUUACCUCUUAUUCCGUUCUUUUGGGCUCAUUAAAAAAAAUGUUGGUCCAGCCAAGUCCGGUCUAUGCGGUCACAGAAGACCAGUGCUAGGUAGCACGACACAAAGACAGCUUCUUCCCCCAAGCAGUCACUCUGUUGAACACUCAGAAACAGCCCCCACCCUUGCACUGAACAAAGUCAUCAACAUUGUUCUGCAUAUCUACCUCAUGUGUACUUCAAUCUUACAGUUACAAUAUUGUUAUUAAUACAUUAUCAUUGCACUGAACUGCCUUGCACUAUAUUUAGAUUUAAUCUUAAACCUCAGUCUACAGUAUAUGAUAUUGCACUAUUCCCACCCUCUUUUCAAUUGUAUAUUUCAUCUGGCCUGUGCCUGUUGAGGUGUCCACGACUUGGCAAGCUUGACAGGGACAACAAGGAGGCGGACAUCCCCAGCCGCAAUGUACAGAUGUAAAUAUUGUAUUUAUUCUUAUACUUAACCAUACUCCUGAAACGGGACACAGCUAAAAAUACUGUGAGUCAUUGUAUAAUUAUGCACGCCUAUGUUAGGUCUCUGUAUUUUUUCAGAUAAAAUAUCCUUUUUUCA